AGUCGAGCGAAUGGAUAAAGAGCUUGCUCUUAUGAAGUUAGCGGCGGACGGGUGAGUAACACGUGGGUAACCUGCCCAUAAGACUGGGAUAACUCCGGGAAACCGGGGCUAAUACCGGAUAAYAUUUUGAACUGCAUGGUUCGAAAUUGAAAGGCGGCUUCGGCUGUCACUUAUGGAUGGACCCGCGUCGCAUUAGCUAGUUGGUGAGGUAACGGCUCACCAAGGCAACGAUGCGUAGCCGACCUGAGAGGGUGAUCGGCCACACUGGGACUGAGACACGGCCCAGACUCCUACGGGAGGCAGCAGUAGGGAAUCUUCCGCAAUGGACGAAAGUCUGACGGAGCAACGCCGCGUGAGUGAUGAAGGCUUUCGGGUCGUAAAACUCUGUUGUUAGGGAAGAACAAGUGCUAGUUGAAUAAGCUGGCACCUUGACGGUACCUAACCAGAAAGCCACGGCUAACUACGUGCCAGCAGCCGCGGUAAUACGUAGGUGGCAAGCGUUAUCCGGAAUUAUUGGGCGUAAAGCGCGCGCAGGUGGUUUCUUAAGUCUGAUGUGAAAGCCCACGGCUCA
rnacentral:rRNA from 1 species